CUCCUCCCAGUGUCUUGCCACUUGGAUACUCUCGUGUCAGUGCACCAAGGAGAAAAGUGAACCCUCACAGUGCUCAGGGCUGCAGUGAGGAAGGUGUUGUGCUGCUCCCUGACACACACACAUCCAUCCUCAGUGCAGUGACUAAGAUGCUUCCCUGGAAACGGGCACCUUUCUGGGUGCCAGAAUUUGAGUAAAUACAGGUUUCCCAGGAAGCAGGAAAUCAGAAACUAUAAAGUGGUGCCGGCAAGCUGCCCUGCUGUGUCCUGGCUUCUCAAGGGGAUGUGGGUUCAUCAGGAACCCAAACCAGGAAGAAGCAACAAACACAAUCUCAGUGCUGAGGCUGGAUCCUAGGUCCUGUGCAUGCUGGGUUACUGCUUUACCACUGAGCUUCACCCUUCGGUUCUGGGGGUUGGUAAAUCUGCACCACCCUAUGCUCUUCACUGGAUGCUGCACGUUGGAGAAAUGUCAAAGGAAACACGUGAUGGCUCAUCACCCCCAAAGCCUAGAAGUAACGUGUGAAGCAGUGAUGUGCAGGUAAGAUGCCCUUUGCUUUCAUGGAGACUGGCCUGCUCACUUCUUGUGCAGUGAUGCUGGUCACAAUAAAAGCGUGAUUACUCCUACAGUGUCUAUGCCAUUGAUCAGAGAGGGGAAUACAGCUGCUUACAGUCAUUACCAGACUCAGAACAAGUACUGGUCAAUUCAGGUGAUGUGAGUGUAGCGAGUAUGCUGGAGGUUUAUACACUGCACUCAUAAAUCCCUGAUGGUAAAGCAGCUGACUUUCUUACAUGAGGACCUCAAGCUCCUACCCUAAGCAAUCAACUCAAUCCUGCUCCACGCAGCUAAUUCUGGUCUCACCCCCAGUUUCCUGGCUCAUGAAAUUUGGGAAUGAGUGAAAUUUGGAUGACAUCAGGGGUCAACUUUAGAAGCAAAAUGUUCUUCAUGCAGUUAGUGUCGGUGUGUCUAGAAUUACCCUGGGCCUAGAUAAAUGAUCCUGCUGUGAUCGGCACUCCACACUCCACACACCUUUUCUGUUGCUGAUGCCACAAAGCCUUUAGGGAGGAAGGGUCUGGGUCUAUGUGACAUCUAUUCUGGCUUCUGGCUUAUGCAGCACCAUGAUUAGCAAGUGUGUGGCAAUGAGAACAUCUCUGCCCAUGUGACACUGUGGGUUGGAAUGAGGACAUUCUGUCUUUGCAUUUUAUGGUUGCCCAUAAGAUCAAAGAAAGUAAAAGCCGUCCUGCAGCUGAUCUGUCCAGAUCAGCUUUUACAGAGGGAAGGAACUCAGGUCCAGAGCACCAAAGCUACUUGCUCAUUUUUUGUUAGGCUAGAGCCAGAUCUUCA